GUUUUGUACUGUUUCUUUAUUUUUUUGGCUGAGAUGGGUUGUGGGGAUGUGAGAGAAGGAGGCAAUGGCCUGGGCCGGAAGACAGAAGGGGAGUGAGAUGGAGAGAGCUGGAUGAAAACUGGGAGUCAACCAAAAAGGGCUACAGUAGCCAUUUUGAGAAGAAUUGUCCCAGUCAACUUUAGAGCUGAUGGAAACAGGACAAGAAAACUGAUCUCAGAUCUUUGUUGUUGAGUCUAGAAGUGGAACCAGACUGUCUUCCUACCCCCUUCCUGCACCUGAGCAGCUCACCAUCUCCAGAGGAAAGCACGCAAUUGACUCCAUCUCAUUUUCCAGCCUGGAGGCCCCUUGAAGAGAACAACCACACCGAGUGGAGUUUUGUCUCACAAUUUGGGGCAGGCUUUGACGAGGUUCACACUGUGAGCAGGAGGAAAACCAGAAGCUCAGCGUUACUCCUGUUCUGUCAUACUUCUCACACUUCCUCACCAAAGUGGUCCCCAAAGCAGAAGAAAUGGACGGUAUGGGAUGCUGUCGCUGAACACGUCCUGCGGAAGCGUGACAUUUCUAUUAAGUAUUCAAAAUUUGUUUAUCUUAAAAUGUGUGCAAAUUUAGUGUAUCAUUCCAUUACAUAUUUGCUUCAAUAUUAUCUUUUUAAAUAACCUACC